rnacentral:rRNA from 1 species
GAUCGAUGGCUCAGGAUGAACGCUGGCGGCGUGCUUAACACAUGCAAGUCGAACGGAGUUUUAACGGAAGUUUCGGAUGGAAGUUAGAAACUAGUGGCGGACGGGUGAGUAACGCGUGGGUAACCUGCCUCAUACAGGGGGAUAACAGUUAGAAAUGACUGCUAACACCGCAUAAUAUAGCGAAACCGCAUGAUUUUGCUAUCAAAUAUUUAUAGGUAUGAGAUGGGCCCGCGUCUGAUUAGCUAGUUGGUGGGGUAAAAGCCUACCAAGGCGACGAUCAGUAGCCGGCUUGAGAGAGUGACCGGCCACAUUGGGACUGAGACACGGCCCAAACUCCUACGGGAGGCAGCAGUGGGGAAUAUUGGACAAUGGGGGAAACCCUGAUCCAGCCGACGCCGCGUGAGUGAAGAAGUAUUUCGGUAUGUAAAGCUCUAUCAGCAGGGAAGAUAAUGACAGUACCUGACUAAGAAGCCCCGGCUAACUACGUGCCAGCCGCGGC